rnacentral:rRNA from 1 species
GUGGGGAAUCUUCCGCAAUGGACGAAAGUCUGACGGAGCGACGCCGCGUGAGUGAAGAAGGCCUUCGGGUCGUAAAGCUCUGUCAUCAGGGACGAACGGCCGGUGGAGUGGAAAGCCACCGGAUUGACGGUACCUGAGAAGGAAGCCACGGCUAACUACGUGCCAGCAGCUGCGGUAAUACGUAGGUGGCAAGCGUUGUCCGGAAUUAUUGGGCGUAAAGCGCGCGCAGGUGGGAUCUUAAGUCCAUUUUUAAAGUUCGGAGCUCAACUCCGUGAUGGGAUGGAAACUGGGAUUCUUGAGUACCGGAGAGGAAAGCGGAAUUCCCCGUGUAGCGGUGAAAUGCGUAGAUAUGGGGAGGAACACCAGUGGCGAAGGCGGCUUUCUGGACGGUGUCUGACACUGAGGCGCGAAAGCCAGGGGAGCGAACGGGAUUAGAUACCCUAGUAGUCC